rnacentral:rRNA from 1 species
CAGUUGCCAUCGGUAAGGCCGGGCACUCUGGAUGGACUGCCGGCGACAAGCCGGAGGAAGUGGGGAUGACGUCAAGUCAUCAUGGCCCUUAUGUCCAGGGCGACACACGUGCUACAAUGGCCGGCACAACGGGAAGCGAAGGGGCGACCCUGAGCGGAUCCCCAUAAAAGCCGGUCCCAGUUCGGAUUGCAGUCUGCAACUCGACUGCAUGAAGUUGGAAUCGCUAGUAAUCGUGGAUCAGCCAAGCCGCGGUGAAUACGUUCCCGGGCCUU